rnacentral:rRNA from 1 species
GACGAACCGUGCGAACGUUAUUCGGAAUCACUGGGCUUAAAGCGCGUGUAGGCGGGCCGGCACGUCGGACGUUGAAAUCCCCCGGCUCAACCGGGGAAGGGGCGCCGAUACGACCGGCCUGGAGGAACGUAGGGGGAGCUGGAACUUCCGGAGGAGCGGUGAAAUGCGUUGAGAUCGGAAGGAACGCCCGUGGCGAAAGCGAGCUCCUGGACGUUUUCUGACGCUGAGACGCGAAAGCCAGGGGAGCGAACGGG